UCGAGGAUCUUCGGCAAUGGGCGCAAGCCUGACCGAGCGACGCCGCGUGUGCGAUGAAGGCCUUCGGGUUGUAAAGCACUGUCGAGGGGGAGAAAGGCCGCAAGGCGUGAUCGACCCCUGGAGGAAGCACGGGCUAAGUUCGUGCCAGCAGCCGCGGUAAGACGAACCGUGCGAACGUUGUUCGGAAUCACUGGGCUUAAAGGGCGCGUAGGCGGGCUCACAAGUCAGGGGUGAAAUCCCACGGCUCAACCGUGGAAGUGCCUUUGAUACUGUGGGUCUUGAGGGAGGUAGGGGCGUGCGGAACUUCCGGUGGAGCGGUGAAAUGCGUAGAUAUCGGAAGGAACACCGGUGGCGAAAGCGGCGCGCUGGACCUCUACUGACGCUGAGGCGCGAAAGCCAGGGGAGCAAACG
rnacentral:rRNA from 1 species